rnacentral:lncRNA from 1 species
UUCUGCCUCUUUCUUAGCCCUAGCUUUAGCUUUCGCUGAAGUUGACAGGACAGCUGCUGGAAGUUUAACUGCUGAUGUAGUGGUGGGCACAGUGGUUGGUUUUGGAUACUCAAAAAGUGAAGGUUUUGAAUGUGAUAAGAAUUCAAAUCUUGGAACUUUUAGGUCGUAAUUCAGUCCAAUAAAAGCUGUGGGUGAGAAUGACAAGUUCACGAAAUAGAUGAGGGGAUACCAAUACCAAAACUGGCUAAAAACAGCAAGACCGACAACUGCAGUAACUUUGUCAUGUUUUGUCUUGGAAAGCAAUCUUAUAGUCACAUUCCUCCCACCAGCAUCAAGAAUCCCAGAGGCCAAGAUUGCUCCCAUCUUGCUCAUUGUGUCUUCAUGCUUAUCGAGUAUUAUUUUCUCUAAUUGUCGCCUAGAUUAAGCGAUAAAAAAAAAAGUUGGCUUAAUAGAGCAAUACAAAUGUAGAAUUGUUAAACACCCCGAAGAAAUGAAGAAAAAGCACAACAUAUAAAUAAUAGCAGACCUGAAUGUUCCAACACGAGAAUCACUGGCUUCAUUGAUAUGGACCAUGACCAUAGCCAUGGCAAUGAGGGCACCUUGACGAACAAAAUCAACAACAUCUGAUGUUAAGGGUUCCAGUAAUGAUAUGGCCUCACUCAAUCCUGUGCCAGCACAUGAAAUGCCCACUGCAAGUGCCGCACCAUAUCGAACAUGUGGAUUGUAAGAUUCAGAUAGUAAGGAGACAAUUCGAGGAGUCUGCAGUGUUGACCAGACAAAACAGUGAGAUCUACAGAAAUUCAUAGCCCAAUGACACAGACCCCAAAGGUACAUUAAAUUUAGACAGGGAAAAAAGGUACCAAAGACAUAUAAACCAAACACAACCCCCGCCCCCCCCCCCCCCCCCUNNNNNNNNNNNNNNNNNNNNNNNNNNNNNNNNNNNNNNNNNNNNNNNNNNNNNNNNNNNNNNNNNNNCCCCCCCCCCCCCCCCCGACGCUACACACAAAGAUAUGAGAAAGAAAAAGCAUCUACCUGCUCUGGCUCCGAGUAAAGGACAAAUCCCAGAGCUAAAACAGCAGUUCUCCUAACAUCAUCACUCACAUCUGAUACAGCAAAGUGCAGCAGCUGACGUAUGGCCUUGUUGUUUGCAGUCCCCCUAUAGGCCAAUGCUAAUGCAUACAUACCACCAUAACGUAGUAUGGGGUCUUGAUCCCGAGUCAUCUGCUCAAUUAAUGUAUCUGCUUCUUCUUCCCUUCCAUAAACUGUAAGAGCUAUCCCUAACGCUAAACCCCUGCAACAUAUGGGAACAACACAAAGGAGUAAAGACCACUAACAGAAUAAAACUCAGUUAGUAAAGACCGCUAACAAGAUAAAACUCAGUCAAAAAGACAUUCCAAAUUUACCUGAUAAUUUUCUCAUGUUGUGUCUCAUGUGCAUAAGCAAGCAUCUCACUUGCCUUCUCACUUGCAGUUCCAACCAUAAGCAAACCCAUACUGAUGCCAGCAGCUUCACCAGCAACAGCACUGUCAGUAUAAAGCACGCUUUUGACGUUAUCAUAGAUUUCUUCAUCAGCAGUUCCAAGAGCUGCCAAACCAAGACCUAAGCAUGCACCAUGUUGGAUAACCUGCAUAAAAGGUUCCCAAUACUUAUGUUACAUUAAGUCGAGGGUAAUGCUAUUGUGUCCGAAAAUUGGACAGUCCAACUGCUUGCAGAAGGUGCACAGAGGUAAUAAAUAACAAAUUCAUGGCCUGAUGGGCAUUUAUUCUAGUGAGUAGUCAGACAGUCAGCACUUUAGCAUUUCUCUUUACUUAAGGCCUAUAGGUUAGGGAAAAAAAAAGGGAGCUAUCAUAGGCCAAGAAAAUCAUAUACCUCAACAUUAGUGCUGCGUAGGCUAUCACGAAGGAAUUGCUUAAUGCCCUCACCAUGGUUGGCAUGAAUGAGACCCAAAGCAUAUAGUGCCCCACCUUCAGAGUAUGGACUUCCACCACCACCAGCCCCACCUUGGGGCAAGUAAGGAGCCAUCAGAGACCUGCCCUGUUGCAGAUGUCCUCUAUGAAUAACACCAAGACCAGCUGUUGCACUGAAUUUGGCCCAAUUGGUGGCUCUACUCAGCCAGUCCUGAUGAUCACAAAUGUAAUAGUAAGUAUAAACAGUAUGUAUAUUUGUCCAAACGAGUGAAAGUAAAGAUGCAGCAAAACACAUGUUCUACCAGAUUGUCCCUCAGGAAUGCAUCCACGGUUGUUCCAGCAUGCAUUAUAGCAUUAGCAUAAAUUGUAGCACCAUGGCAGAUGCUAUUCCUCAUUUCAACAGACUGCUUUAUUGUCUUCAAAAUUAAAAGAUCCGAUCUAGACAAAUCACAAUCAAUUAAUAACUUGUAUAUAUCAGAAAGGAACACAAUAAGAAUGUAAUUCCACAAUAAGAUAGCACAAAAGAAAUUGACAUCUCACUUGUUAUGACUGUAUAAGAAUUGUAGAGUCAACUUUAUAGAUGUCUCCCCAGACAAAAUUCCUUUGAUUUUUGUCAGCCUCUCAGCAUACAUAACUUCUUUGGGAUCAGCCUCAUGCACAUUUGUCGUAGCAGCAGCAGAUCCAUCUGUCAUCUGAACAUCCUCUGGAUCCGUAGAAUUUUCAUUUUGAGCAGGGGCAGGAUCGUUGGCUACCGGCUGCAGUGAUUCUGAAGGCAGUGAUUUGGGAGCCGAAAGGCGAUCUCUUACAUUUAACAGAAAAGCCUGGUGCUCAUUCUCCACAAGAUCAAAGGCAACUUGAAAAGCCAAAAGAGCAUCCUCCUUCUUUUCAGAACGAAGAAGCUUUUCCAAUAUAUUUGCAACACCUUCAGGUUCAUCUAAGAACAUAAGACACUGACAAAUGCUCAAAUAAUCAGGAGAAGGCAGCUGUUGGUAUACUCUAACAAGAAGCCGAAGCACCUGCAUGAACAAAAGGAUAACCAACAUCAUGGGUCUUGCAGAAUAUGCUAGGUUGCACCAAAUUCCAGGAAAGGAGCAACUGGCAACAGAUUCAAAUUGUUCUAAUAAAUAUCAAACAAGUAAAGGCUACAAACUACAGAUUUUUAUGAACUAUUAAAAAUCCCUUUACCUCUAAGCGAUAUUCUUGGCGAUAAACAAAUGAAUGAGAGACACUGAUGCAAUAUGCUAAAGCUCCACGAACAUUAUCACUCCUUGUUAUUGCUUCCUCAAGUUUAUCCAGUCUCCGGCACUCAACUGCAAUUCCCAUGGCUUGUUGGUAUUUUCCAUCCAUGAUACACCUGAUUGAAAGAAAGUAAGAUACCUAGACUAGCUCCAAAAUAUUUUCAUCAGGUAAUAAAGCAAAGUCUGCAUACUUGUCCAGCAUUCUCUCCACAAUUGCCUCCAACCUAGGGUCAACCUUUGCUGCUUCAUCGCUUGAUUCUGCAGCCUUCGACCGACGACUGGCAUACUCAUCUAUUGCCUUGGCUGAAAUUAAGAGCAUAUCCAAUCAACAAUAUCGAAUUUAAAACAAUUUAAACACAAUAUAAUCAACCAUAAAAGAAUGUUUAGGAUUGCCUAAACCCUCACUAGCAUCUACUUUCACAGGAGCAAAUACAAUCACAAACCACAGGUUAAUAACUUAGUGAUCAGAACAUAUAGCAUAUAAAUCAAAGUUCUUACCAAGGAGAGUAUGAACAUAAUCAGAAUCCUCAAAAACAUCAAAAAGGGGACCAGCUCCAAGGGCAUAUGACAAUGAAUCAUUAAGUUCACCCAAGUAAUAAAAGACCUGAAAACAAGCAAUACAGUCAAAAUAAGUAAAAGUCAACAUACUCAAAAUUCAAUAAAAGUGUAACUUGAGAUAAGGCAUCAACUUCAAUUACUUUUCAUUUACAAAUUGUAAAUGCAAUCAAAACAAUGUUCCACAAAUCAAACUGUGGCAUCAUUAUAAUAUUUUAUUGUGUAUACAUAUACAUAUAUAAACAGUCUGAAUAAAUGAUAUUAGACCAGUUUUUUUCAUAUGCCUUUCAGAAUUGGACUAUCCUUUUGGGGUCACUAGAAUUUGCUAAAUUGGCAGUGUUAGUUAAGAAUACUCGUCCAGAAAAUGCACAGAUACAAAGUUGGAGAUCAUGGAGUUUAAAUUUUUUUUCUAUUUUAAAAAGAACUCAUUAGUUCAAUUUCCAUAAAAUGAUUCAAACAUGCUUGUUGCAUGCAUUCGUUCACUAACAUGUGCAUGCAUACACACAUAGAGCAAGAGGGACAGGAAAGGAGUACCUUUGAGACAAGCAAUGCAGCAAGUUGUCUCUGAUCCUGGCCAAAGUCUUCAUCUUCAUAUAAACUUUCUCUGAAACACAAAGAUAGUAUCAGUAAUCACAUGCAGAACUCAUGCAGUUCACUAUUUUGAAUUAGAGUCACUCCAUAACAAGCCAAAUAACAUUAUAAAAACUUUCUAAGACUGGAACAAUUUGCGUCGUAUGCCCCCAACCCAAAACUUAAUUUAGUGGAAAAUUUCAAAAAUCACCAAAGCCAUUGCUUUUAUUUAGUGGACAAACCAUAACCCACAUUACAAAAUAAUUGCUUUCAAUUCUUCAUAAUCUGAAUCUUGUAAAAUUUGUGCAAAACAUACAGCUUGACUAAAGCAAUCAAUUAUCGCAUAUCCAGAAAAAUUGCUACAAUUUUGUUGAAUCCAAAAUUCACUGCAAACAUAAAACAUGCCCAAAACUUUCACAGAAGUUUCUGAAUUCAAACUAAAAUGUCACACUUUUUUAUCGUAACUAAACCAAAACAUCGAAAAGCCUUCAAUUUUCCCACCAACCAAUCAGAUCAAAACAACCAAACCAAAAAAAACAAAAAAUCAACAUAGGAUUACAUGAUAGGGACGCUGGUGGAGAUCUCAGGCCAAAAUUGGUCAACGAAACUGAUGAGAUUAGAGAGAGCAUGGAACUUCAAUUGAGGAUGGCUCUCAUUAAGCCUCGCCAGUAACCCUCCAGCCGAGCUCACCAUCGUCGCCGCUGCUGCCGCCAUUAUUAUUAUUCUUCCCAAAAUAAAAACCCUACCGUCAUCCGGAGACGAAGCCGGUGGUUACUGGAAAUUGGUGUGUUACGAGAAGAAAGAAUAAAAAAUUUAUGUAUUAAACAGAAAAAGUAUAUCUAUAUAUAUAAAUUAAUCCUAAUUCUACUCAUAUUCUAACGGUAACUAAUUACUAUUGUAUCUAAUUAGUAAUUUAUAUUUUAAAUUCUCAUAAAUUCUAUUUUUUAGCAACUCAUAAAUUCUUGUUGAGAGAGUUUAUUUUUGAUAAAUUAUUUUGAAUAAAUUAAAAAAUAGAUAUAUAAUAAAUAAUAUGUUUAAAUAUUUUUAACACUUAUAUGGUCACUAAAAAUAUUUUAUAAAAUAUAAAACUGUAUUUGAAAAUCUAAAUUAUAUAUUAUGUGGAUAACUUCUAUACACAAGUCUAAUAGUAAUUUUAUUUAUAAUUUCAAAUAAUUAUAUUCUAAGUUUAAGUAAUUAACAAUAUUAAAAUAUAAAUCAUAUUAUAAUUUAACUAAAUAAUAUUAUUAUUAAUUUAAUUAAAUAAUUUAUAUAAGAUUUGCCUUUGUCACAUCUUUAUAUAAGAAAGGGAGGAGUGACUCAAACCUCUUUAAAAGUCUCACAAACCUCUAAAAUGUUACGUAUCAUUUACACUACCGAACUUGUCUCCAAAACAUUCUAGUGCUUGUGACAUUCUAGAACAUUUUAAUUAGAGCUGUCAACAUGGGCUGGCUCGAUCUAACCUAGCCCAAGCCAUUAUAAUUUUACUUAAUCAAAUUUUUAUAAAUAAAAUUAUUUUAUAGUUUAAUGUAUAAAUUGAAUAAUAAAAAUAUAUUAAAUAUAUAAAAUUUAACUAUCAUUUAUAUAUAAUUAAAUAUAUAAAAUUAUUAAUUUUUUUAACUCACAGGACUGGCUCACCUCAAUCCACCUCAACUUACUGAUUUGAUGUGCUAGCCCAUUUAGAUCUAGUUUAAAUAUGAAUUUAAAUUUUUAAGCAUAACCCAUCUCAUAUUCCAUAAAAAAUAAACUGACUCGAUAUUUUGACAGGUAUAAUUUUAAUCUCCAUUUGCUAACUCUCCAUGGAGCACAUAGAGAACAUUCUAUUACUUGACAGGAGCAGUCUGGAACCUUUUUAGUUUACAUUUGCUAACUCUCUAAGGAGCACAUAACAAUUAGCAUGAAUCUUUUACCUUUUCAAAUGAUAAAAAAUUCAUGUCAAGAUUAUAACUUUUUUAUCAUCAAAUUUUUUAUAAAUUUAAUUUUAAAAAUUAAUUAAAUCUUACAAAUAAUUAAAUAUCAUAAUUUUUUAUUAAAAAAUUUUAAAUUAAAAAUAUAAAAUAAAUAAAUAACAUUUGCUAACUCUCUGCGGAGCAUAUAGCAAUUAGAGUGAAUCUUUUAAAAGAUGGUAAAAAAUUCAUGUCAAGAUUAAGGCUUUUUUAUUAUCAAAUUUUUUAUAAAUUUGAUUUUAAAAAUUAAUUAAAUCUUGCAAAUAACUAAAUAUCAUAAUUUUUUAUACAAAAUUUAAAUUAAAAAUAUAAAAUAAAUAAAUAAUAAAAAAAAUAUGUUUAUCUUUUCAUUUAAGGUAACUUCAAUAAUUAACACCAAUACUUUUUAUGAGAUAAAGUCAAUAUUUUUUCCAGAGUAAGUGAAUUUUCAAUUAAACCUAAUGAGAAUAAGAGAUUAUUUUUCAAAUUUUUUACAAGUAAAUAUAUUCUUUAUAUUUUACAUUAUGUUUUAAGAUCUAACUUGAGAUUAACAUGGGUGGAUAAAAUGUGUCUCACAAAAGUUCCAUCGUAACAUUCUCAGUAAAUUGAGUUGUUCUAUGCAAGAGAUAGGCUUCCAUACCAUCAACUCCCGACUGCUAAUUUGAGAUUAAGAUUCCAUUAGUCAAAUUAUUAUUUGUUCAAAGUUUGCUUUAAAUAUUAAAAAUACCCUCAUUUUAUUUAUUAUUUUCCUUUGAUUUUAAAAAUAAAUUAACUAAAUGUCAUAAUUUUGUUAUUAAAUAGAGAAAUAACAAAGGGUUUAUUUGUUUUUUUUUCAUUUUAAGUUAAAAUCAGUAAUUAAUAUCAGUAUUUGUUGAUAUAGAUAAGCGAAUUUUCAACUAAAUCAUAGAGAGUAAAAGGGUGUUUUUCAAAUCAUUAAGAGUAAGUGUAUUUUGAACUAAACCUCAGGAAAGCCUUGGGAUUAGCAGGUCUAUAAAAUGUGUCUCGCAAAAGUUUCAUAUGAGAAAGUUGGCUUCAAACUGGAUUGAUGCAUUCAUACCUCUGGUUAUAGUUUGGUCGGUAUUCGUGGCGCUGUUUCAAUGGCAGUUGCACAUAAGAUUCGAUUGGUUUCUAUAAAUGGGUUUUUACAACAUAUAUAAAGGGCAGACAUGCCGUUAGUCAAGAAAGAUAAAAGAAUAGAAUCCAAAUCAGCCCAACUAAGCUAAAUCAACAAUUAUUAAUUUAAAUUACACAACUAAGAUAGACACUUCUACUAGGAGACGUCUAAGUGGAAACUCCCUGGCAUGGAGAGAUAUGCUUUUGUUAGAAGACGUCUGGAUGGAAACCCAGGAGAGAUAUUCUUUUAUUAGAAGACGUCUGGAUGGAAACGCACGCCCUGGGUUUUGGUGUGACUGUCUCAAAUGCAUAGUCAAGCCAUAGUUAUUUACCUCUAAAGUUCGCAACUGCUCCUGAUAUUGAGACGCCAACUGCCUCAGAUGUUGCAACUCAUGGUUUUUAUCAUCAAGAUCCUUACAAGUUUAUAAAAUAUUUGCUACAACUUUCUUUUAUUUUAGUUUUUUUUCUUUUUUACAAACGUUUUGCCUGACAUUAGUUUGAUUUGAUUUGAUUUUUUUUAAAUAACGAAAUAAAAAGAAACCUAAAUUGAAACUUUAUGUUGUUAAUUAAUCAAUAAUCAAUAAUCAAUUCAACAUAAGUCAAAGUUUUAGAUCCUGUUUAUCGAUAGAAUACAGAGACCAAGUCUGGCCUGAAACAAAUGAGGCUUUCAGGCCUGGGUGGUGGGCUCCCUGGCCCAUAUCUACACGUUAACUUGAAGCUAAACAAAAGAGGGUACAAAAGUUUAGUUGGCCAGUGACUCUAAAAAAGAUAUUCUUCAACAUCAUGUUGCCUAAGAACAUAGCCAUAUCUCUAAGAAAUUAACAUGUGUAGUGCGGUCCAAAUAUUAAUUGAUUGGUCCUAACUAUAGAUUUUCGGCUACUUGCCCUUCUUCUGCCUAAUUUUUUUUUCUACAUGAAGCUACUUAUUAUAGUUGAAUUAUAGAUAUUUAUCCAACUCCUUUUUCUACCCCCUAUCAUCUCAAAAUUUAGUUACAUUUUCUUAUCAAAUAAAGUACAUUGUAGUAUUAUUAUCAAAUAUUAUAUCUAUAUGUAUAAGAGAAAAACAAAUUGCUUCAAAUUAGUUUAGGACCCGUUUGGUUUAGAACGUACUUUACAUUUUUCCAUCUCUAUUUUCAAUAUUGACAUUAAGGAAAGAUGAAGUCAGGUUAUUCUAAUGUUUUGUUGCAAAGCAAGUUCGGUUUAAAAUAUGGGCUUGUAUUAUGAUGUUUGUUGAGCUGUAAAUAUAAAUAUUGUAGAAUACUAUUGAAUCAAAUGUUAUUGUCUCGUUAAUAAAUAAAUUUAAAAAUUAUAAAUUAUAAAAAUUAAAUAUUUAUAAUGUUUAAAAAUAUUUAUUUAAAAAAUUUUAUAAAUUUUUUAUCUUUACAUAUUUGUGAGAAUUUGUGAGACAAUUUAAUAUUUAGGUACAUUCAACAUAGUUACUUAGAAAAAUGUACAAGUAUCAAGUUUGGGAAAGAAUAAAGAAAUACUUGUGGAUUAAUAAAAUAAACGUUCCUAUUCAAAAAAAAUUAAAAGUAAACACAAAACUCUCAUAGAUAACAAAAUGAUGAAUAAUCUUACUAAUAUUAGGUGAGAGUUAUAACUUAUAUGUCAAUAAAUAUAACAAUUUACUUAUUUUAAGUGAACAAUAAAUAUUAAAAGUAACGAUUAAACAGAGACUAAAUAAAGAGAAGGUGGGGAGUACGUGAAAUAAUUAUUGGGUUCCAUAAAAAACCUUAUUAAUUAAAAAUAGAAAUCCAAAAAAAAAGAAAUUAUAAAUAGAAAGUGAAUAAGAAGAGAACGAAGGAACUAACUCAUCUACCAAACAAAGAGAAUGAAAGCUUUGGGGAGGGUGAGGUGGUGAGUCGUGUGUUAUGUAGUGGGUCGGGGAGCAGGGUUUGCCUGUAAGAGCUGGCUUUGACUUUGGGAUCGAUGGCAGGAAGAGAGAGAGAAGGGAGAAGGAGCCUGUGGAUUAAUAAUGUACACCUCACAGUUGCACCUCCCUGUUAUUUACGCGUUUCACAGGCCACCAACGCUCUUUCCCUAGCUCUUUACCACCUCUUUCAUGACCUUAAUUAACUCUCCCAUGGCUGCCGAUUAAAUCAUUCGCAAGCUUUCAACUUUGAAAAUUUAGAAAAGCAAAUUUUUUCAUGACUUUGAGGUAAUUAAUUAUUGAGUAAGAUAUUAAUUACAACCAAAAUGAAGGAAAAAGACAAAAGGUAGAAUUAACCCGCCUACUCCAAGCCUAUUUUUUCCAAUUAUUAAGUUGGAAUUUAAAACUUUGUUGGUAUUGCAGCAAAUCGAUAAAUAUGCAGCUUUAUUAAUUUAUUGAAUAGCAACACAUAUAUAUAAGGUGUGAUUUUUUCAUAUAAAAACAAAUUACAUUUAUAUCAAAUACUUGAAUUCCUCUUAUAUAAUAAUGAAUUAAUUUAUAAUUAAUUUUAAAACAAUUUAGAGCAUGUACCCUUUCUUUAGAAGUAAAAUCAAAGGGAGAAUUUAAACUUAAAAGACUGAUAGUUUUUGAAUAUAAAAUAUAGAACACAAUCAAUUUAUACCUCCAUCAUAUAAUAUUUUAAAUUGAAACUUGUCGGAACAGUGAAUAACAAUUAUCUCCCUAAUACAUAAUUUAGUACCAAAAAUCUCUUAUCUUUUGAUAUAGAAGUUCCAUGGCAACAUGAACAAGGAAAAAUAUUAGUUUUCCACACUCGUCCAAUGACAAAUACCCAAGGAUAACCUUUCGCACUGUUCUGUUCAAUACAUUUGAUCAGUGAUCAGCUUCAAUUAUUCAUGUUCCUACGUACAUUUACAAGGGUUCAUAUCUUUUAAACGACAAUUUUUCCUUUGAUUAUUGGUAGGUUGGAAAAGUAAGCUGGCACGGGUCAUAAUGAUCAGGGAAAAUUAAUUAUUUUUCCCAGUCUAUAUACCAAUAUAAUAACCUGAAAGAUUGAGAGACCGUUAAUUCAAAGUUGGAAAAUUAAAAGUUCAAAUAAAGGUGAGGAUUCACAUGAAACAAGUGACGCUUUUAACCCAGCUUUCGUCUUAGGAGCAAGUGGUUUUGCUUUUUACUUGUAUUUCCACUUUAUCGAAAGGGGAUUGUUGGAUGAUAAUGGUUAACAUAUCUAGAAACCAGUAUUCUAUUGAUGUACGAAAGUGCAAAACAGAAAUAAUGAGGAAUUAUUACGUGAAUUUUGACUUAUUCCAGAUCGUCACAUUCCGUUAACCUUCUUGCCUGCGGAAAUACCUGAAAGAAUAAUGGUUGAACAUGAAUAACCUUUACCUGUAAAAUAGAAACACACACUGAAAGGAAACAUUCCAGUCACCACAGGAUUACGAUGCAACCUCAUGAAGGAGAGUGGAAAUCAAGAUAACACUUAAAAUAAUAUCUCAUGGAGAUAAGAAUGUAUCUAAAUUGCUAGGAAGUUCCUGAACUGAGGUGGGGAAUUGUGCCACCUUUCUCCUAGUUUUUCACUUUAGGUUGGAGAGCUAUAAUGGAGCAAAACACUGCCCGUGUCUGAAAUUAUCAUUGGAUCCGUUCAGUUCCAGAAUCCAGCAAAACAUUAUCUCAGGCUGAGUACAAACUCAAGCAGGCAUAUUGUAGCUCCCACCUUGCCGUUCACUUCAAACAUAAACUAUAUUACUGACUAUGGAAAAGUUCAUACGUCGCCUAUAUGCAAGCAGAGACCACAACAACAGCUCAGCACCUUAGAAACCUUUAGAUGCAUGCAAAUCAGAUUGAGGUCACCAAUACCUUGCAAUAGUGCAGUAGCAACUGCCUCACCCCAAUUCAACUCAUCCCUCCAGAGCACCGUAUUUCUCCAUGUGAAAAGCAUAAAAUCACACACUCAUCCAAAUGAAGGAAAACCAAAUCACGAUGUGUAUUCAAAAGGCUGAGGGGGCUGGGGUUCAUCAUCAACAGCCAUAGCUGAUGAAGAACUCUGCUGUCCAGCUGCUGAUCCACCAGCUGGAGAUGCUGUGGAUGCAGGUGCAUCUGUUAGAGAGAGCACUUCAGGUUCAUCAGGGCGCAGGUCUCUAAGAAGAACAAACCCGGAUGGUGCCAACUUCACCGGCACAUAUCUGCUGUCUUCUAAAAACUUGAUGAAUUUCUCUUGAGCAGGAACCACUCUGGCUGGGUUGGUCAAAACCUCGAAUGAUGGCUCAGGCUCCGCUUUCUUCUCUGGAAGGUUAUCAACCUGUCCAAAAAAAAGAAUCAAUGAGAGAGAGUAAAUACAACAUUUUUGCAUGAUCAUCACCUGACCUAAACUCAAACAACACAAACAUGCAUCAAAAAUAUUACACAAAUAUGGCAUUUGAACAGAUCUUUUGUCCUUACUUUUACUUUUAGAGUUACAAAGAAAUUUAGUGCUUUAAUUUCUAUUUUUUCAACAAUAAAAGCGAAAGAUUCAAGUAUUGCUCAAAUCCAUCAUGUGAACAUGGCCACAAAAUUAAUGGUAACUUCAUUAAUCUUACCUGCAUAGCCUCCCCAUCCUUCUCACCAGACGAUUUCCCUUUUCCAGUACUUGGACCAGUAGAUGAGGACUCUGCCCCAGAUGAUUUCUCAGCACUUGCCUUUUGUUCUGCCUCUUUCUUAGCCCUAGCUUUAGCCUUUGCUGAAGUUGACAGGACAGCAGUUGGAAGUUUAACAGCUGAUGUAGUGGUGGGCACAGUAGUUGGUUUUGGAUACUCAAAAAGUGAAGGUUUUGCAUGUGAUAAGAAUUCAAAUCUUGGAACUUUUAGGUCAUAGUUCAGUCCGAUAAAAGCUGUGGGUGAGAAUGACAAGCUCACAAAAUAG